AUACAGUUGAGGUGCAUAAAGAGAAGGAGUAUGAUGUGCAAGGCACACACCUGUACUCAGCUGAGUGCCACAAUACACAGAAGCCCGAAAUAGCUGUCGGAAGCCGGUGGCGGCUGCACUGCUGCUCCUAAUAUACACUUCCUUGCACCUGUGUCCUGAGCCCUUUGCCGAGUGACUUGGCUGUGCCCCUGGACUUUAAGGAAACUACAUCAUCAUUACGAAGACUGGGGAGCAACAGCGUCAUGGGCACCGCUCUGCUCUGCAUGAAGGAGUCCGACAGCUGCCAGCGGGGAGCUUUGGUGGUGCCAAAUCCCCUGGAGAGAGGAGGCUGCAGCCCCAGGCAGCAGGGAGCCCUGGAGGAAGCUGCCUCUGCAGACUCGCGGGAAUGCCAGCUCCGGGUUUCAUUCCUUUGUUCACUGCUGCUUCCCAAGUGCCAGACGGAGCCUGGAACUCAGUGGCUGCUCUAAAGAUACUGUUGAAUGAGUAAAUGAACGGAAUUGCACAGGAGCGAGGCCACAGUUCUACAGCUGAGCUGCCUGUCACGGCCCUCACCCAACCACCACUGCUGGAAAUGUGCAGACAGGGUGUGCCUCUCCCGUUUAAGGGAAAUGUAUUGAGAUAUCAUUCACAUACAUGGCACGUGCUCAGGGAGCCCCCCAGGAUGACAGAGCUCACCCAUCACCCCACAGAACGUCUCUGCCCCAUCCAGGCAGGCCCCAGAGUACACUGGGUCUGGCUUCUUUAGUCAGAGGUGGUUUGAGUGAGUCUAGAGACUUCAUAGAAUCUGGGUCACAGAGCAGGCACCCUUUUCCAUCUGGUGUCUUCCACUCAGCGUAGCGGUCCCGAGAUCCAGCGUGUCUCUGCUAGGAUCAGCGGUUUGCUCCUUGGUGUUGCUGAGGAAAAUUCUACUGCAUGGAACACCACCAUCUAUCCACACUGGAUAGACACCAGAUGAGUGCUUCCGCCUGCUGUGAAUGAAGCUCCUAUGAACAGUCUCAUAUUAGGUAUGAAAGGAAAAUAAAUCAAUCACUAAACAAAGGGGAAAGUCAAGCUGGGAGCUGCCUCCCAUCCUAUUCCUAAAUAAGAUAGCUACAAAGAUAAAAACGCUGUUCCUCCCUCACAAUUUGCUCACAAGGAACUUCCUUGUGGAACAAGGACAGACAGAACUCAAUCAUCCCUCCGCUCACAUGAGACAAACACAGAUCGGAAUGCUUCCUCCGCCCUGUUGUUUCACCCAGCCAGACUAAGGCAUACGUAACUAUUCCAGUAAAUUGUGCAUUCGGUGAAAGGCUAAUCAGAAACUUAAAAGAAUGCAGCCAUUUGUCUCUUAUCUACCUACAACCUGGAAGCCCCCUGCGCGCUUUGACUUGUCCUGUCUUUCCAGAUAGAACCAAUGUACAUCAUACAUAUAAUGAUUGAUGUCUCAUGUCUCCCUAAAAUGUAUAAAACCAAGCUGUUCCCCGACCACCAUCACCAGGACCUCCUGAGGCUGUGUCACGGCACGUCCUCAACCUUGGCAAAAUAACUUUCUAAAUUUAUUGAGACUUGUCUCAGAUACUUUUUGGUUUACAAAGGUGUUUGUGGACAUGUAUAUUCAUUUCUCAUAGAUAAGUACCUAGAAGUUGAAUUGCUUAGACAUGAGUAAAUGUAUGUUUAACUUUUUCAGAAACUCCCGAACAUAUUUCCAAACUAUACCGUUUUACACUCUGUCAGCAGAAUUUAAAAGUUUCCACUGAACCACAUCCUUGUCAACGUUUGGUAUUGUCAAUAUGUUUAAGUUAUUGAUAUUGUUCUAGUGAAUGUGUAGAGACAUCUCGUUUUGGUUUUAAUUUGCAUUUUCCUAAUGAGGAAUAAUACUGAGAAAUUUUUUCUUUCAUAUUGUCAUAUAUGUGUCUUCUUUCUUAAAGUGCCUAGUCAAAUAUUUUGCUCAUUUUUUAUUGCUUUUUAUUAUAAACUGUGUUUUUUUAAAUAUUAUCUUAACACACGUCUUUUGGCUGAUAUAAUAUUGUAAAUAUUUUCUCCCAUUCUGUGGUCUACUUAUUGUUUCCUAAUGCUGUCUUUUGAAGAGCAAAAUAUUUUUCUCCAUUUAUGGAGACAAGAUGGUCAACUUAGCUAUUCCAAAAUGUUUUUAAAAUUCUAGUUUGUUUUAAAACAACCACAGCAAACUGCAUGGAUUUGUUCCACAUCUUUGAAAGAAAAACAUUAUUUUAUUUAUUUCACAGUGGAAGAUAAGUCAGUAAGGCCCCACUUCGGCAGGUUUUGUUUUCGUUUCCUCAUGCCUCUGCAAUGCUCGGAGUCACCCACGCCUUACUCACUGCGGCUGGAACGAACCCAGACUCCUCACUCCUCCCACAGCCUCUGGCGCAGGGCGCUCCUUGCUUGAAAGAAACGUUUGCGAUUUUUAGUGGAAACGUCCGUGUUUUCUUGGUAACUGGUAAAUGGCUGUAGAUUACUGACACGCGGUCCUUUGUACGUAACAGAAGGCUUUGAGUGUUUCUGUGAGGAUCACCCUGUGAAGAAACGGCUGCAGUGAGAGCAGCCGAGGCGGGACGCAGCCCCGGACGUGGGGUCAGAGAGGAGCCGUGCGUGGGGUCAGAGAGGAGCCGUGCGUGGGGUCAGAGAGGAGCCGUGCGUGGGGUCAGAGAGGAGCCGUGCGUGGGGUCAGAGAGGAGCUGAGUUCAGGACGGGCAUGGCAGCCGCAGGAGGAGGGCAAGGCGGAGCCCAGGAGGGGCAAAGUGGACAAAGCCAGGGCUGGAGAGGGGAGACCCAGGAUCAGCACCACGUUCCACGGGGAUGGCACAGAAGCCUGAGAGGCCACGGCCAAAUGUGGAAAUUGGCUUUGCCAAAUCUUGCAUUUCAGAGAGAAAAGGCAAUAUGGCAUUAAUGCUUGCCUUGUUUAAUUUUCGUAAUUUUCCCUUUCUUCCUGCCAAUAGCUUGCUUUGUUAUCCGGAGGGUAGCCACGGUUUUAGCUCACAGUGAUGUCAACUUGAAGCUUCUCUCCACAAGCAGCUGUGACCUCAGCUGCCGUGCAGUCAGCUUCCCCGGCCUCCCUCCCCAGCCUCCCUGGUCUCCCAGGCACAAGGCUGGGCACUGGCUUCAGAGUGGCUGCAAGGGCACGGCCCCCAGGCCUAGGGCUGAUCAGCGUGAACAGUACCCAGCACACUUGCUUCAAAAAGUAAGAAGAUAUAGAACACAAGCUGCUUGUUCUCAUGACUAUAGCACAAACUAUAAAACAAAACAUCUUCCUCCAGAACACGGCAAGCUGGAUGGACAGUGAUCUGGACAAAAAUUUGCUGUAGGUUUUGUAACUGGGGUUCAGUGAGGACCAGGCUCCCCAGAGCAUACAUGUGGAGACAAUUAAGUUGAUCCCAUUUUCCAAGACUCAGAGGAGAUGUAUUUAUAUUAGGAAUAUAAACUUGCUAUUAAUGCAACUUCAGAAUGUCCAGGUCAUCCGUUGGGAAAAAAAAAAGAGUAAGUCUAGGGCUGGUUCGUGCUGUUGCUACAUGGAGGGAAUCCACAUCCAAGCCUGCCGCUCACAUGCUGGGACACAUUGCCUCAGCCUCCAUCUCUGGGAGUCCCACGCUUUCUCUCCUGGGUUGUCCCACUAUUCCUUUUGAAGUCCUCAUGUUAGUGACAGUUCAAUUUUCUCUUCACCUUCAAAAUUGCAGAGAACCUAAUUUCUACUGACCAGUCAAGCUUGUUUCAUUUAUCUUCCAUGUUAACUUCAAUUAAAAUGUUAACCAUCUGGAAUCUUUGGCCUCUUAUGUGACAAAAAUAGGCAUUAAAUUGUAUCAUUUCUUAAAUUCUCUGUUGAAAAGUCCAAAUACGUUACUGAAUAUGAUACAGAUUAGUAAGAAUUUGGGCUCAUUAAAUGUAAGAUAAUUUCAUAGCUUAAGGUAAUUUCACACCCCAAGGGACUUAUAACCUAAACACAAAGCAGAUCACCAACAUUAACUGUCAGCUGUCCACUGGAGAACUAUCUCAGACAAAAAAAUAAAAUUUGGAUUAGCUCUCCAUGGUGCACAAUACUUUCAUGAACCAUCUCUUUUGGGUUGGCAGCUGCAGUGUGUUCUGAGAGUAUGUUAAUGCUACAAUAACAGUAAAAAUAAAAUUAAGUUGGGAACAUACAGAAAAAAAGAAAUUGAUUACAUUAUUCCUAAUGACGACCUGAAUCAAAGUUGGCACUAAAUAAAUUUUUGUCAGAAAGGAGAAAAGAAAUGAGAGAAAUAAAAGAGAGGAGGCAGGAUUUUAUAUUCUGCUCCCUUUUUGGAAAA
rnacentral:lncRNA from 1 species